UACGAAGGGAGCUAGCGUUGUUCGGAAUUACUGGGCGUAAAGGGCGCGUAGGCGGCUUGAUAAGUUUGGUGUGAAAGCCCUGGGCUUAACCUAGGAAUAGCAUUGAAUACUGUCAGGCUUGAGGCCGAGAGAGGGAAAUGGAAUUGCGAGUGUAGAGGUGAAAUUCGUAGAUAUUCGCAAGAACACCAGUGGCGAAGGCGAUUUCCUGGCUCGGUACUGACGCUAAGGCGCGAAAGCGUGGGGAGCAAACAGG
rnacentral:rRNA from 1 species